rnacentral:sRNA from 20 species
GUUUAGCCCUGAUUGAAACGAUAUCCUUUUUUGUUUUUACAAAAAAGAUUAAGUGUAAAGCAGGAAAUUGC